UUUGCUUUUCAGAUCAGCUGGAGUAAUGUUUCAAUGCUGCAUUAAUGUUAUAGAAUUAUGCAACAAAGGGUCGAAGCAAAGGUUAUUCUACAUUUAUUGUGCUCUAGGUAUUGUUUCCGUAUUCUGCUUGGUAGAUCUACUGGAAUCUAAAUGUCAACCUUUUCUCCACUCUAACUGUUUAGAAAGAAAUAUCAUUAAUGUACAAAGAGAACCAAACAAGCACUUCCGAAAAUACAAAACAUUUUGGAAGUGUAGUGACAGCUUGUCAGCUUCUGACCCAAAACGUUCAAAAAUUGAACUAAAAGAAGGU